CACAUACAUGGCGCGCAUGGUGAUCUCAUGGGCAUCGUCAGCGAUGUCUAAUGCGCGCCGACGGUCGUGAAAAGCUCUCAAAUUUGCGGCAUUUGCCCUUCCUUUAGAUCAGAAUGCUCUCGGUUUUUCGAGUAGACCGAGAUCGAUGGCCGAGCACCAAUAACCUAAUUUGAUCUCACCUGAAAGAUGAAUUAGCUUUCAGUCUGUCAGA
rnacentral:lncRNA from 1 species